rnacentral:lncRNA from 1 species
GAUGCUGCAAUUAACGGCCUGGACAGAGGAUGGGGACAUGAAUAAUGGUAGAGCCCAGCAUUAGCACAACACUUCAUUCAUCACUGCUGAAGGGCAAAUGCAUAACCCUCAAAAUGAUCCUGGAAAGAGGAAAAGGGAGAGGAAUCGCAAGCUCCAUGGAACAGUGAUUUACCAUGCAGCAGAGGAUGUGAGCAUCUCCGAAAUAGAAGGGUCCACAUAUUUUGAACUUUAACAUAUAUAAUGAUAUUUAUAAUGUGACUGUUAUGGGCAGCUGAUUUUUCGUACAAUUGACAUGAGACCCAUCUGAUGAAGUGGCACUCCCAAAGAAAAGAUAAAGUCAAAUCUGGCUGGCCAGUUACAACUUCAGAGCUCUUUCAUAACUUUCUGAGGUUGUAGAUAAAUUGGACCUUCCCAGAAGACCAUGGCUGUGGACAAGUAAACAAUUCCUAUCAUACAUUUCUCACUGGGGGGAAAGUUAAAAGUUAGAUUCAAUA